rnacentral:rRNA from 1 species
GGGAGGCAGCAGUGGGGAAUAUUGGACAAUGGGCGAAAGCCUGAUCCAGCAAUGCCGCGUGAGUGAUGAAGGCCUUAGGGUUGUAAAGCUCUUUUACCCGGGAUGAUAAUGACAGUACCGGGAGAAUAAGCUCCGGCUAACUCCGUGCCAGCAGCCGCGGUAAUACGAAGGGGGCUAGCGUUGCUCGGAAUUACUGGGCGUAAAGGGAGCGUAGGCGGACAUUUAAGUCAGAGGUGAAAUCCCGGAGCUUAACUUCGGAACUGCCUUUGAUACUGGAUGUCUUGAGUGUGAGAGAGGUAUGUGGAACUCCGAGUGUAGAGGUGAAAUUCGUAGAUAUUCGGAAGAACACCAGUGGCGAAGGCGACAUACUGGCUCAUUACUGACGCUGAGGCUCGAAAGCGUGGGGAGCAAACAGGAUUAGAUACCCUGGUAGUCCACGCCCUAAACGAUGUCAACUAGCUGUUGGGUUCUUCGGAGCUUAGUAGCGCAGCUAAC